UACGUAGGGGGCAAGCGUUGUCCGGAAUUAUUGGGCGUUAAAGCGCGUGUAGGCGGCUCGGUAAGUCUGCUGUGAAAGUCCAGGGCUCAACCCUGGAAUGCCGGUGGAUACUGUCGAGCUCGAGUCCGGAAGAGGCGAGUGGAAUUCCUGGUGUAGCGGUGAAAUGCGCAGAUAUCAGGAGGAACACCAAUGGCGAAGGCAGCUCGCUGGGACGGUACUGACGCUGAGACGCGAAAGCGUGGGGAGCAAACAGG
rnacentral:rRNA from 1 species